UACAGAGGGGGCAAGCGUUGUUCGGAAUUACUGGGCGUAAAGGGCGCGUAGGCGGCCUUCUAAGUCGAACGUGAAAUCCCUGGGCUCAACCCAGGAACUGCGUCCGAUACUGGAAGGCUUGAAUCCGGGAGAGGGAUGCGGAAUUCCAGGUGUAGCGGUGAAAUGCGUAGAUAUCAGGAGGAACACCGGUGGCGAAGGCGGUUCUCUGGGCAUUACCUGACGCUGAGGAGCGAAAGUGUGGGGAGCGAACAGG
rnacentral:rRNA from 1 species